AGAAAGAGAGCCUGGCCGAGCCACGGUGGGUAUUGUGGAUAUGCAGCCUUGUGAGUCAACCUGACCCAACUUCACACGGCUUGGCUGAUGCUUCUAGGGCACUUCCUAUUAAUUUGAGUUUUGGUGUUAUAAACGUAUAAAGGUACUUGCUCGAAGUAGCUUUGCCCUUUCGUAUUUGGAAGAGCCGAAACAACCCAGGGGAAGUCAUUACAAUUUUGGAAACUCACAAGGCACCGAUCAGUACGGAAAGACCAUAA